rnacentral:rRNA from 1 species
GGACCGGGAUGGACAUACCUCUGGUGUACCAGUUGUCGUGCCAACGGCAUAGCUGGGUAGCUAUGUAUGGACGGGAUAAGUGCUGAAAGCAUCUAAGCAUGAAGCCCCCCUCAAGAUGAGAUUUCCCAACUUCGGUUAUAAGAUCCCUCGAAGAUGACGAGGUUAAUAGGUUUGAGGUGGAAGCGUGGUGACACGUGGAGCUGACGAAUACUAAUCGAUCGAAGACUUAAUCAAUUUUUAAA